AGUGAACGCUGGCGGUAGGCCUAACACAUGCAAGUCGAACGGCAGCACAGUAAUAGCUUGCUCUUACGGGUGGCGAGUGGCGGACGGGUGAGGAAUACAUCGGAAUCUACUUUUUCGUGGGGGAUAACGUAGGGAAACUUACUCUAAUACCGCAUACGACCUACGGGUGAAAGCAGGGGAUCUUCGCACCUUGCGCGAUUGAAUGAGCCGAUGUCGGAUUAGCUGGUGGGCGGGGUAAAGGCCCACCAAGUCGACGAUCCGUAGCUGGUCUGAGAGGAUGUUGCGCCCCAUGGAAGUGGAGCAGCGGCCCGGAGUCUUAGGGAGGGCCCAGUUGGGAACUUUGGGCAACAGGCGCAAGCCUGAUCCAGCCAUACCGAGUGGGUGAAGAAGGCCUUCGGGUUGUAAAGCCCUUUUGUUGGGAAAGAAAAGCAGCAGGUUAAUACCCAGCUGUUCUGACGGUACCCAAAGAAUAAGCACCGGCUAACUUCGUG
rnacentral:rRNA from 1 species